AACUUAACAUUGUUGAGUAAAACGCAAAAACCUCUUAAGAUUGGAUAUUUGCUGAUACCAUAGCUGCCUACCUGGAGGCGGAGCAACGGAACAGUCAGAGAGAGGAACAUGUGAAGCACAUGAGGAGGAGAAGAUGGUGGCUUUGUCAGAUUGCUGCUGAAUUCAGUCGAAUCGCUACUGUCCCACUAAUUCAAACAUUUUUCAAAACUGCAUGGUUCCACCAGCAAGCUGGACAGCAUUUACCGUACAAAAGAAGAAAUUGCAAAAUGGAAAAUUUGAAAACUGAUGGCUACCAUCGACAAGAGUGAUGCCAUCUCAACUUGGAGAGCUUGCAUUCUCAGAGCACUUUCUGUGUAUCUUAAUGAAGACUAUUAAAACCUCAUGAAGGAGUAUACAGAGACAGACUUUGAGAGAGACAUGGCCAAUACUGUCAUUAAAAUCUACACCGUUACGCCUGAAGUUGUAGAAGUCUGUGACCCACCAUCAGUUGCUGGACUGAUUGUUGAGGGAGUGAAAGUGCUUCAGAACCUUGGCGAUGUCACCAAGGCUUGUUCUCUUUCUUUGAGAGUCAAGUACAGCGUGAAUCUCAGUAAUCCUUCAGACCUGAAAUGCACUUUUUGAGUUUUUCAGAAAGUGUUGCUGGGACUUGCACAUAAACUGUCACACAAAAUACAAGUUCUCAAAAACAAACUUGUUGGCUGAGUCAGUACAUCAUUCUGGACAAAUGAAAGAAAUAGAGGAAGAAGCUUUUUUGAGACACUUAAAUUUUUCUAGUUUUUUAAAUUAAGGGCCAAUUUUAAUGUUAUCUUUGUCAAUGGCACCAAAGUUUUAAAUGGAGUUCUACAACUUUAAAUGGUUAUAAUUGUUUGAUUAUUUACAAAGAUUCAGAUUUUCAGUUUUAUUCUUUUCUUUGCUUUUUAAAAUUCUUAUGCUGCUUGUCUUAAACUUUCCUUUUCUUUUUCAGAGUAAAAUUUAUUACUUGCAGUUGCACAUAUUGAAAGAACAUUUUGGUCAAUAGUAAAACUUCUUUUAUAAAUUUUUUUAUGUUUUUUUUUAAAAAAGCUGUUGUUUUGUGGUAUUUUCAUAAAUAAAGGUCAGUUGUAUACUUUAACAAUAUAUUAAACCUUUUGAAAUAUCAGCAAUUGAGCAUUGUAGCAUUUUGUGACACUCUGGAAAAAAAUGUCACAUUACUUUUGUAAAUUUGCUCUUAUACAUUUUUCUUCCAGUAUUUGAAGUAGCACAUUGUAAGAAUGUUCACUAUUGACCAAAAUGUUGCUUUUGCAUUUUUUUCUUUCUUUUUGUACUUUUAUUUGAAUUGUUUGAGAAUGUUUACAAAAAUAGAGGCCAGUUUUAAUGUUACUCUCACUAUAGAUUGUAAAGAUCAGAAAUGGAUUUUAGCAGUAUUUUAACAUUCCAUGUACAUCAUUUUUCAAAGUAAGAUUAUUUCAGAUUGUUAAAGCCAGUUGCACUUUAAAAGACCCUGUAAAAGUUAACUGAAAGCAUCUGAUGUUUUAAUGUGUUUUUUCAAAAGAAAUUGAAAUUGUUUUAUGGGUUUUUAGCAGUUGUAUGUUGCAAAACAUUGCAAAGAAAAUAAAUUCAUUUUGUUUCUAAA